rnacentral:piRNA from 1 species
GACACAUCCAUGGAUGGAUGG